rnacentral:rRNA from 1 species
UACGUAGGGUGCAAGCGUUAAUCGGAAUUACUGGGCGUAAAGCGUGCGCAGGCGGUUUCGUAAGUCUGUCGUGAAAUCCCCGGGCUUAACCUGGGAAUGGCGAUGGAGACUGCGAGGCUAGAGUUUGGCAGAGGGGGGUAGAAUUCCACGUGCAGCAGUGAAAUGCGUAGAGAUGUGGAGGAACACCGAUGGCGAAGGCAGCCCCCUGGGUCAAAACUGACGCUCAUGCACGAAAGCGUGGGGAGCAAACAGG